rnacentral:rRNA from 1 species
CUGAUGCAGCGACGCCGCGUGAGGGAUGACGGCCUUCGGGUUGUAAACCUCUUUCGACAGGGACGAAGCGCAAGUGACGGUACCUGUAGAAGAAGCACCGGCCAACUACGUGCCAGCAGCCGCGGUAAUACGUAGGGUGCGAGCGUUGUCCGGAAUUACUGGGCGUAAAGAGCUUGUAGGCGGUUUGUCGCGUCGUCCGUGAAAACUUGGGGCUCAACCCCAAGCUUGCGGGCGAUACGGGCAGACUUGAGUACUGCAGGGGAGACUGGAAUUCCUGGUGUAGCGGUGAAAUGCGCAGAUAUCAGGAGGAACACCGGUGGCGAAGGCGGGUCUCUGGGCAGUAACUGACGCUGAGAAGCGAAAGCGUGGGUAGCGAACAGGAUUAGAUACCCUGGUAGUCCACGCCGUAAACGGUGGGCGCUAGGUGUGGGUUUCCUUCCACGGGAUCCGUGCCGUAGCUAACGCAUUAAGCGCCCCGCCUGGG